GUAAACCUUGAUUUCUUUCAUCAUGUAAUUGAAUAUUUGUACUGAGAGAACUAGGUCAAAAGUUCUGAUUUUUCUCAGAGUAUAAGGCAUGAUUAUAUAUUUAAAGUGCUUCUUUGGGCAGGUUUGUUUUUCUUCAUUUAAUAACCCAUCUGUGAUUUCUUUGUCUAAUCCAGUAAUUCCCUGAAGUGCAAGGGAAGACAGAAAUUCCUCAGGGAUUGCAAAGAAAAGGGGAUUGACUAUUAAAAGCUUCCAAGAAAAGACGGAGAAACCAGCAGAAUUCAGGCUUGAAUUAAACCAGCAAGAGAAAUUCAUUCAGCAAGAGAGACUGAAAACACGAAGGAAAGGCAAUGAAAGUAUGCAUGUUAUUUCAGACCCUCAACACCAGCUGGAAGGCAAAAUAUGCCAUAUACUUUCUUACAAAGUGAGUAGUUCUCCGCAGAAAUAUUGUGUAAACUCAAUUCAAUAAGUAGUUUUUCAACAUCUAUUUUAUGCUUAACACCAAGUUGGGCCCUGAGGAUGCCAAAAUCAGGAAGUCCAUCUCUGCCUCAAGGAAAUCACAAACUAAAAGAGAAGACUAGCGUCUAUAAAUGCAUAAAAAUAAGUGGAUUUACAACUCCAAAGUAAAAAGAAAAAUAGCUCAGUAUAAGCCAGUGCUUACUUUGUGACACGUAAAAAAAGAGCUUAAAGUGGAUUGAAAAUCUAAACAUAAG
rnacentral:lncRNA from 1 species